CAGCAGCCGCGGUAAUACGAAGGGGGCUAGCGUUGUUCGGAUUUACUGGGCGUAAAGGGCGCGUAGGCGGGCUGGUAAGUCAGGGGUGAAAUCCCAAGGCUCAACCUUGGAACUGCCUUUGAUACUGUUUGUCUUGAGUUCGAGAGAGGUAAGUGGAACUGCGAGUGUAGAGGUGAAAUUCGUAGAUAUUCGCAAGAACACCAGUGGCGAAGGCGGCUUACUGGCUCGAAACUGACGCUGAGGCGCGAAAGCGUGGGGAGCAAACAGGAUUAGAUACCCCUGUAGUCCCUGUCUCUUAUAC
rnacentral:rRNA from 1 species